AUUAUCUCGUAACUAAAUUAGUUAUAAAUAGAGCUAUCAACCAAGAACGAAGUAAACAUUGAUAUCAAGUUUAAAAUGGCGCACGCUUUAAAAUCAUGGCCAGAACUGAAUUUCGUGGAUGCUAGGAUUGUAGAAAAUAUUAUAAAGAAGAACCAUCCUGAAUUUCAGAUAGUGGUAUUGUUAGCCGGAAGUCCAGUAACCAAAGAUCUUAAACAUGGACGAGUUCGACUGUUUGUUAAUAUACUCGGUAUAGUGGUUGAAAUUCCUCGUGAAGGGUAAAAUGUCUUAAAUAAAUAUGUUUGAGAUAAUGCAUAAAUAAAGAAUAAUAUUUCUACU